GACGAACGCUGGCGGCGUGCUUAACACAUGCAAGUCGAGCGGAAAGGCCCUUCGGGGUACUCGAGCGGCGAACGGGUGAGUAACACGUGGGUAACCUGCCCUUCACUCUGGGAUAACUCCGGGAAACCGGGGCUAAUACCGGAUACGACCACUUUAGGCAUCUUCGGUGGUGGAAAGUUUUUCGGUGGAGGAUGGACCCGCGGCCUAUCAGCUUGUUGGUGGGGUAAGUA
rnacentral:rRNA from 1 species